rnacentral:rRNA from 1 species
UAAUACGUAGGGGGCCAGCGUUGCUCGGAAUUACUGGGUGUAAAGGGUUCGUAGGCGGUGCGGCAAGUUGGGAGUGAAAUCUCUGGGCUCAACCCAGAGGCUGCUUUCAAAACUGCUGUGCUUGAGUGUGGGAGAGGCGCGUGGAAUUGCAGGUGUAGCGGUGAAAUGCGUAGAUAUCUGCAGGAACACCCGUGGCGAAAGCGGCGCGCUGGACCACAACUGACGCUGAGGAACGAAAGCUAGGGGAGCAAACAGGAUUAGAUACCCUGGUAGUCCUAGCCCUAAACGAUCAGGACUUGGGGUGGCUCACGUUCGUGAGUCGUCCCGGAGCUAACGCGUUAAGUCCUGCACCUGGGGAGUACGGUCGCAAGACUG